AUUGAGAUGAUGAUUAUUUCCCCAGAUGAUCGAAGUUGAUUAUACUGAGCGCAUUUAUUAUAGUUCUCUUUAAUAGGGAACUCCAAGCCAGAAAUCUGAUCCGA
rfam:Helianthus annuus linkage group 8, whole genome shotgun sequence.